GAUGAACGCUGGCGGCGUGCCUAAUACAUGCAAGUCGAGCGAACAGAUGAGGAGCUUGCUCCUCUGACGUUAGCGGCGGACGGGUGAGUAACACGUGGAUAACCUACCUAUAAGACUGGGAUAACUUCGGGAAACCGGAGCUAAUACCGGAUAAUAUCUUGAACCGCAUGGUUCAAUAGUGAAAGACGGUUUUGCUGUCACUUAUAGAUGGAUCCGCGCCGCAUUAGCUAGUUGGUAAGGUAACGGCUUACCAAGGCAACGAUGCGUAGCCGACCUGAGAGGGUGAUCGGCCACACUGGAGCUGAGACACGGUCCAGACUCCUACGGGAGGCAGCAGUAGGGAAUCUUCCGCAAUGGGCGAAAGCUUGACGGAGCAACGCCGCGUGAGUGAUGAAGGUCUUCGGAUCGUAAAACUCUGUUAUUAGGGAAGAACAAAUGUGUAAGUAACUAUGCACGUCUUGACGGUACCUAAUCAGAAAGCCACGGCUAACUACGUG
rnacentral:rRNA from 1 species